AGAUUGAACGCUGGCGGAAUGCUUUACACAUGCAAGUCGAACGGCAGCACGGGGGUAACCCUGGUGGCGAGUGGCGGACGGGUGAGGAAUACAUCGGAAUCUACCUUUUCGUGGGGGAUAACGUAGGGAAACUUACGCUAAUACCGCAUACGCCCUUCGGGGGAAAGCCGGGGAUCGCAAGACCUGGCGCGGAUAGAUGAGCCGAUGUCGGAUUAGCUAGUUGGUGAGGUAAUGGCUCACCAAGGCGACGAUCCGUAGCUGGUCUGAGAGGAUGAUCAGCCACACUGGAACUGAGACACGGUCAGACUCCUACGGGAGGCAGCAGUGGGGAAUAUUGGACAAUGGGCGCAAGCCUGAUCCAGCCAUACCGCGUGGGUGAAGAAGGCCUUCGGGUAGU
rnacentral:rRNA from 1 species